UGGGGAAUCUUGCGCAAUGGGGGCAACCCUGACGCAGCGACGCCGCGUGAGUGACGAAGGCCUUCGGGUUGUAAAGCUCUGUGGAGGGAGACGAAUAAGUGUUGGCUAACAUCCAGCAUGAUGACGGUAUCCUUUUAGCAAGCACCGGCUAACUCUGUGCCAGCAGCCGCGGUAAGACAGAGGGUGCAAACGUUGUUCGGAAUUACUGGGCGUAAAGCGCGUGUAGGCUGCCCUGCAAGUCAGGUGUGAAAGCCCUGGGCUCAACCUAGGAAGUGCACUUGAAACUGCGGGGAUCGAGGGCUGGAGAGGGAAGCGGAAUUCUCGGUGUAGAGGUGAAAUUCGUAGAUAUCGAGAGGAACACCGGUGGCGAAGGCGGCUUCCUGGACAGUUACUGACGCUGAGACGCGAAAGCGUGGGGAGCAAACAG
rnacentral:rRNA from 1 species